CCUACGGGUGGCAGCAGUAGGGAAUCUUCCACACUGGGCGCAAGCCUGUUGGAGCAACACCGCGUGAGUGAAGAAGGGUUUCGGCGCGUAAAGCUCUGUUGUUGGAGAAGAACGUGCGUGAGAGUAACUGUUCGCGCAGUGACGGUAUCCAACCAGAAAGUCACGGCUAACUACGUGCCAGCAGCCGCGGUAAUACGUAGGUGGCAAGAGUUAUCCGGAUUUAUUGGGCGUAAAGGGAGCGCAGGCGGUUGCUUAGGUCUGAUGUGAAAGCCUUCGGCUUAACCUAAGAAGUGCAUCGGAAACCGGUCAAAGUGAGUGCAGAAGAGGACAGUGGAACUCCAUGUGUAGCGGUGGAAUGCGUAGAUAUAUGGAAGAACACCAGUGGCGAAGGCGGCUGUCUGGUCUGCAACUGACGCUGAGGCUCGAAAGCAUGGGUAGCGAACAGGAUUAGAUACCCUUGUAGUC
rnacentral:rRNA from 1 species